CCCUUAGAUGCUCUGGGCCGCACGCGCGCUACACUGGUCGAUGCAACGAGUUUCUUUCCUUGGCCGACAGGCCUGGGCAAUCUUUGAACAUCGAUCGUGAUCGGGAUAGAUUCUUGUAAUUUUUGAUCUUAAACGAGGAAUUCCUAGUAAACGCAAGUCAUCAGCUUGCAUUGAUUACGUCCCUGCCCUUUGCACACACCGCCCGUCGCACCUACCGAUUGAAUGGUCCGGUGAAAUCUCCGGACUGGCGUGAGUCGGAGCAAUCUGACAAACACCGGAAAGUUGAUUAAACCUUACCAUUUAGAGGAAGGUGAAGUCGUAACA
rnacentral:rRNA from 1 species